rnacentral:lncRNA from 1 species
AGUGCACUAAAAAAUAUUCUCUCAUACCAAAGUCCUUCUGGUCAUUGCUACUACUACACUGGUCUAGUGCAGCAGGCUCUUGAGCCUCCAAGGGACUUGUUUCAACUGAGACUUCAUCAACCACAGGAGAUAGCUUGCUUAAUCAUGAUGCCAUUGCAUGCCACGGAUUACCAAGAGGAAACUGGAAAAAGAAGCUCUCCCUGGCUAGCUUUGAAGAAGUACAUGACAUAUACUUCUUCACAUGGCAAGAAGUUCCUGGCAGGUUCUAAGGGCUGAGCAGCCUCUGACUAGAAAGAAAACAGGGAGCUCAGUCCUACAGCUUCAAGGAAUUAAACUCCUCCAAUAACCACAUGAUCUGUGAAGAGAAUCUUGAGCUACAGAAGAAAAUGAAACUUGGCCAAGACAUUAAUUAUAGUCAUGUGAGACCCUGAACAGAGAACCCAGUUUAGCCGUGCCAAGACUUCUGACCCAUAGAAGUUGUGA